UGACAAAAUUUAAAUUAUCACGUAUCUCGAUUUUAUUUUAAUUGAGAAGAGGAAAAAGAGGGGAGGAUUUUUGUUUUCAUAUAUGAAAUGCUAAAUGACACUAUUUGCGUGUACAUUUCGUAUGAUACGCUAGUUAUGCUUUUCAGGAGUAUUAUGGAUUAGGGACCAUUUAUUGGCUAUUCCUGAUGAACUUAAAAAAGUGAAGGAUGAGUCGAAGAGAGAGAAAUAGGGAAGAAAGUCCUUUCCGACGCUAUGAAACUAUCGGGCCGGAAUUAUCAAUAUGUGAUCCUUCUCCGGUAUCUGAAGAACGUUACGGCAGAAAUUCUGCUGGUUUUAUCCCGAAUGCUCCCAGAAUUUCUUCAUUCUCUGUUAAUGAGCGAAUAGUUCGGACAGAGAGACAUGGACAGUUGAGUCCUUUAUCUAACAGAUAUCAAAUUGAUCAAUCAGAGCCAGACGAUGAAUUUUCUUACCGUUUACAUUACAAGAGAUCUGAAGAAGGGUAUGUUAGAAGUGUGAUACAAAGAUCUGAGUAUAGAAGAGAUAUCUACCAUGAACCUUCUCGGGAUGGAGAAAUUUAUCUUGAAUCUGUUUCAACAAGGGAGAUAUACCGAGAGUCCAGGGACAGGGAAAGGAUCCACAAAGAUUUUAGUCCAACUUGUUCUAAAAGAAAACAUGUUGAGGAAGAGAGUCCUAGUAUAAGUAUAAAGCAAAGCUCGAGUAGACGUCGAUAUCCCAGUCCUGGUGGUAUACUAAAUUGUCCCACAAGAAAUUUAUCCCCCAAUUCUGCGUCUUUUAGGGGCGAUUUCCGUGAUAAAAGUCCAAUUAGAAGCAUUAAGCACAGAUCCAGCUCAAGUAGACACCGAUAUCAAAGUCCUGUUGAUGGGAAUAAUGAUUUUAGUCCUAAUAUAUCCUCAUACUCUGGAUCAAAUAGAGAUGAUUUUCAAGAAGAGAGUCCUAGUAGAAAAAUUAGACAUCGAUCCAGUUCCAGUAGUCUUAGAUAUCUCAGUCCUGGUGAAAAAAGCAAUCAUUUAAGUCCAAGAAGAGAACUAUCCGUAAAUUCUGAAUUUAUCAGAGAUGAUUUUCAUGAUGAGAGUUCCAGUAGAAGAAAUAUGGAAAGAUCUAUCUCUAGCCGACAUCGUUAUGCCAGUCCUGGGUACUUGAACCAAGAUUUUAGUCUUACAAGGACAACAUCCUUACAUUCAAGAGACAAUAGUGAUGUCCUUUAUGGAGAGGAUCUUUGUGAUGAUAGUCCCGAAAGAAGUAUCGAUCAUAGAUCCAAUUCGAGUAGUUGGCAAUAUCCUAACCCUGAUUCAAGUCCCUCAAGAAACAUGUCCCCAUUUUUAAGGUCUAGCAGAAAAGAUUUUCAUGCUGACAGUUCAAGCAUAAGUACAGUACCCAGCCAUAGAAGACAAGGUGGGAAUAUAUCCCAGUUUCCAAGCUCAAAAAGAGGUGAUUUUAAUGUGGAGAGUUCCAGAUCUAUACCUCCUAAACCUGAUCACAAUCGUCAAUCCAAUCAUAGAGAAAGAAUAUUUCCUGGAUCACCCAGUAGGGAUAAUUACAAUUCACAUAGGCUAAAUGAGGAAGACCAUCCAAAUAAGAGUAUGGAUUUGUGCCAUCAAUACAGCAAUUAUGAAGUCCUAGAGCCUGUUCCUGUCAUGAGGUCAACCCGGCCAUCUUGUUUUAACAAAGAUGGCCACCUAGACAGUGGCUACAGCAUUUCAAGAUUAAAUGAUGAUAUUCAACCAAAUACUAUUUCCUGUAGAGAUUUUAACUAUGGAUCUCAUUCAAGUUUAGACAUUGAUCUUGAUACUCAUUCCUCUAGGGACAUCUAUCAAGAAGACUCCAGUUCUAGUAGGAGUAUACACCAUGAAUCCAGAUACAGGGAACAUCCUUAUUCUUGUCGCUCCUCUAGUAAAGAGAGUUUACAUCUAUCCAGUAAUGCUGAAGAAGAUCACUCAUCUAGCAGAAAUACAAUGCAAUCCAAUCAUGGCAAGAUUCCUGUUGUAUCCAACCAUCAUCUCGGGUCCUCCUCUCAUUCUGCCAGAGAUAGUAUGGCUGGAAAUUGGAAAAGCUCAAGAUAUCUAACAAAUAGAAGUCCAGAUAUUUCCCAGUCAACCAGGCUUAAGUAUGAAAACAAGAGGCAUGAACAAUAUUUAUCAAAUGAUGAUCUUAGUUAUGAACACCUCACACAAUUAAGAAAUAGGAGUCCAAUUGAAAUUACAAGAUCUGAUAAAGAUGUUUCUACAAAACAAUCCAGGAAAAGAAUUAAGAGUGCAAGUCCUACAACCAUUGAAAGAAAAAGAAGAAGUUUACAGAAAACCAAUACUUCACACUAUAAAGACUCACAUUCGGUUAUUGAAAAGAAUUAUAACAGACAUUUUAUUGGCUCAAAGCAUAAAUCUAGACAAACAAGUGCUGGAGCCUUUAAUAAGGAAGAAGGUUCAUGCUACAAAUCAUCUGGCAAACCUGACAAAAUAUUAGAAUUUGAAUACCCUACCAAAUUAUAUGAAAUUAAAGGUAAAAUUGUACUGAUAAUUGAUAAACUGAAGUGUGGAGUUCUUAAUCUUGAGGGAGGGGAUGGAAGGAAAGCCUAUUGCUUGUUUUUCUUCAAGGAUGUGCAUUUUAAAGAGCAACUUUGCUCUCUUGCAUUCAAGAGAUUAGUAGCUGGGAAAACUUUUUGUGUUAAUGCCCGUCUUAUGACUACUAGUGAACAAAUUCCCUAUGCUGCUACCAAUGUUUGGGAGGAAGGGUUUGAUGUACCUGAUACUUUUAAAUCUAAAAUAUUAGCCGAUUUGGAUGAAGUUGAAGUUGAGGCUUACUACAGGUUAACCAACCAAGUAUCAUUAAAGUUAUUGAAACAGUUGUCUGUAAAGGAGGACAAAAGAAAAUCAGAGGUUCAGACAAUAGUUCUAUCUGAUGAUGAAGAACUAGAUCUAGAUUCAAAAAAUCCCACAAGAAAGGAUAAUGAUUCCUCUUCUUCUGUAGAAUGUUUGAAAAUUAAUGUUAUGAAUACAAAGAUGAAGAAAAAACAUAAAAUCAAAGAAUCAAAAAAACAUUCAAGGGACUUGAACAUCAACAAGGAUGUCAUUGAAGGAAUUAUAUUGUCCUAUUCUCAGGAUAACAAUGGACUUGUUUUUUUAAAGAGCAAGAAGGAUGUAGACUCAGGUUAUGCAUAUUUUCAUUUAAAUCAAGUUUGGGUCUGGCACAUUAACAAAUUUAAACUACUGAGAGAAAUUUUUCCAACUAAGUCUCUGAAGAUUGACUUCCCUGAAAGUUGCCAAGUUCAAUGCAUUGUACGGAGAAUUAUUGGAUAUGAUGAACAGUUUCAGGUUAUUGCUUUGUGGAAAGAUGGAAGUGGUAUUCCAGGAAUUCAAAGUUAUCCUCCUUUAAAAGAUGAGCUUCACUUCCAGUUGAAAUCUCUUAAAAAUCCCAAGAAGAAUAAACUUGGCAUCUCUUUGCUGAAAUCUCUGAAGGAGGUAACGGGAAGUGUCAAAGAAUAUUUCAGUGAUGAGGUUGGUUUCAUAAGACUAAAAAACAGUAAUGAAGUUGUACUCUUUCAUCUUAAUGAGAUUUGGGUCAAGAAAGAAGGUUGGGAAUUAUUCAAAGACAAGCAGACUCAAAUGUUGCAAACCUCUCUUCCUGUGGGUAGCCAGGUUACCUUCACAGCAAGGCAAAUUCCUUUUAGUAGACCAUCUCAGCUUAGAUAUCAAGCAAUAGCUGCCUGGCCAUCAACUACUGAUUCAAAUGGAGCUCUCAAGAGUUUUCAGGAAAAAUUUAAAUCAAACAAACAGAAGAACAAAUUACUCAUGUCCUUGGAGAACCAAUACAACAGUUUCAAAACAUUGGCUAGGUUAGACCUAAAUCCUGGUGAGAAAGAUUUUCCAUUUGUUUCUGUUUUAAUAAAUGGUCUCCCACAGAAAUGGACAGCCACUGUUGACAAACAAGUUAAUUCAACUAUCGGUAUUAUCAAAGUUAAGUUACCUUCUUCAUUCAGAAUAAAUGAACUUUAUGCAUUAUUUGAUAUACAAGAUGUAUAUGAUGAUCAUGGUAAUACCAUAUCAGAGCAACAGUCACUUAAAUCUCUUGUGAACUGUGAAGUCAACCUGAUAGCUAGAUCUAUUUGUAAUGGUUUAUUUACUGAAACUGUUGACAAUAUUUCAAUGGAUAUGAGAAAAGUUGGCAAAUGGCAUAGAAAGCCUUUGCUGCAAGCCAUUGUAGUCUGCCUGAAGAACAAACAUGAAAACAAGCCGCCUAAGAGUGUUCCUCAACCAACAUCACUUCAUUCAAGCGUUAAGUCUUUUUCUACAAACAAUGAUGGAUUAUCUUAUUGCUACAUGAACUACACACUCAAAUGCCAUCUGGACAGGAAGCUUCAGAAGUAUCUUGAUUUGACAAAGCUAAUGAAUAGAUACUGUGAAUCAGUAAAUUGCUUAUGGAAUUCAGUCAACAUUUGUGAAGAGGAGAAAAAAAUUACUGGUCUUCUACUUGUUGACACUAAUCUUUCCAGCCGAAUUAUUUAUGGACAUCUUGAUGAAAACAUACUGCUGAAGUCCAAAAGCUCCAGUUCACUCCCCACAUUAAUGAAAUCAGUCUAUUGCAAGCCAACUUCGUUGCAUAGGGAAGGGUUAAUUGCUAAAAGUGGUGUUGUUCAAUUCAUAAUGCCUGGAACAUUUGUCAAAUGUUUCGCAUAUUUUGAUCUAUCUUGUCUUGAAGGUUUUGGUGAAGUAGGAAAUGUGGAACAUGAUCUUGCAGAUUUCAUUCCUGUUAACUCCAGAGAUUUGUUUAGAGGACAUUUUGUCCUUUGGAAUCAUGAACAUAGAGUUCCCUAUAUUACCACCAAGCUAUGGAAUGAAAAUAUUAGACUUGAUAAACAUCACAACAUUCCAAUUGCUUCAGGAAUGCAUCCUGAAUCAGAAAAGAUUGAAAAGCUUGAACAGCUUCUGUCUUUUAAUUCAGACAAAAUAUCAUUAGUGGAAAGAGUAAUCACAAGCAAGAAAGCUGAGGAUAAACAUGAAAACAUAAUGAAAAUAGACUGCCCCACUGUAAGCAAUGUUACUCUUCCCAGAAUCAUUGAAUCAACAGACUUGAAUGGGAGAUUGGUAGAACUAGAAAGUAGGGAUAAAGAUCAGACCAACUCAAAUAGUGUUGUUCCUGAAAGAAGGAGUAUUUCCAAUCAGGACAAAGUAUGUAUUGACAAGAGUUUGGAUCUAAUUAAGAAUUCCUCAGCAAAGUCAAAAACCAUUAAUGUGAACUAUGCUGAAACAGAUGGGGUAAAAUCUAAAACUAAUGUUACUGUUGUGACUAAUAUCAGCAACCAAGGAACUGGAAUAGAAAUCAAAGAAGAGAAAGCCUCCAGUGUUCGAAACCAGAAGACUCUCUAUUUAGAGAAGGAUUUAGAAUCCAACAAAGGAACUGAUUCUAUUAUGCAAAACAUUAAAGGACAAGUUGUCAAAGUUUUAGAUGAUAACUAUGCUGUUGCUGUUGUUAAAAAUCCUAAAAAGAAAGCAUCAGACACACAUUUGGUUGUUUUUGAUGUAUGUGACCUCUGCUCAGAUGAAAAUUCAUCCAGAAGUACGAAUUUCAAAUUGAGCAGCAUUGUUCGACAGGGAAGUUUUGUAAAGCUUAAUGCUAUUCAAGUUUUUGAUAAUAAGGAUCAACCAUAUUUAGCAAGUGCUGUCAUAGUGGGUGACAGUUGGGAUGAUUUGGAUUCCAAGGAAAUUCCUGAGAGUGCUGCUAGAAUAAGUUCUCUUAAAACUGUUGACCAGGAAAAGAUAUGCAACUUCAGAAUUGUUGCAAGAAUAGUGCAAAACCAUACAUUCUCUGAAACUGAGAUAAGUAUUGUGGAGAAGAUAACCUCUCUUUUUUCAAGGACUAAGGAGCUGAAAGAUAAAUUACAAGCAAACCUCACUAAUAUUGAAGUAGGUCUAAAAAUUGAGGAGGAAAACCAGUCUGUCAAUUUUACCACAGAUCUGCCUGAUCAUGUAGCAAACAAGACAGGGGUUGUGUUAUUUAAGUCAGAUGCAAUGGCUUUGAUAAAGUUUGAAAUGAAAUCAAGUGAAGCCACUCUGAAUUGUUUUGCAUUUCUCUCCUUUGAUUUGAUUAGUUCUGAAGAUAGUACAAUAAACCUUUCUAUUGGCUAUCCUGUUGCUUUUCAUGCAAUAGCUUUAACAAGCAGUCUACAUCAUGUUUUUGUUGCAACCAUGGCAUAUUCUGAUGGAUCUCAACUGAUGAAACAGAAAUUCAUGGCUGAAGUUCAAAAUGAUGACUGGGUUAAGAAAGCAAGGGAAACUGCAGAUUUCACUUCAAGGAAACUGGUUGUGCAGGAGUUCAUAAAUAAAGUAGAUUUGUCAAAGUUCUGGAAACCAUGCUCACUGAAGAAGUUUCUAGUUGAAAUUGUGAAGUGCACAACAGAUGUAGAGUCAAAUCAGCAUGUUAUCAUUCUGAAGAUGGAACAUUUAGGAGUCUCUGGUAAUGCACUGUAUAUCACUCAGUCCAAAGGAGAGUUAAAAGAAAAACAGAAAGUCUUCAUGAAUGCUCUUCUGUUAGCUGAAAAUACAAAUUUUGACUACCUUGCUACUGCUGUGUGGACUGACGAAGAAUUGGAAGUUCCUAUUGUUGAAUAUGGAUACAUAUCUUAUAAUGAUGUCAAAGUAUUUCAUGGGACCGUAAAUCAUGCUGAAGAAAUCCUCUUCCUUACAGUGCUCAUAGCUGAUGCAAGAGCAAGUAAACACUUUCGACUUCUUGAAAUUUUGGGAAAGCAAACUUUUUCAAAAUUAAUAUCUCUUAUAGUGGCAUACGAAGAAGAAAUAUUGAAAUUAAUAGAAGUUGAAGACUUUGGUGAAAUGAGACAUGUGAAGGCACCUUUCUCAUUAAAUCAAAUAAUAACCAGGGCUCACUCCAGCCUUUCUGAAGAAGAGAUUCUAGAGCUACUAAUACUUAUAAACAGAUGUUAUACAAAAUAUGGAGCCACAGGAUGUCUCCAAAUGCUACCAAAAUCUACUCUUGAAAACAUUAAGGAAGAAGGUAUACAAGCUGUUUCAGAUGCUUUGCCUAAGUUGAAAAGAGAUGGAAUGUUAUGGGAGAUUCCAAAAGAAUGGAAUGACCAAGCAACUACUAUGGCUUGGGAGGACAUAGCAAGACCUCCUGUUGAUGAUAUUCCUGAAACAUGGAGCAUGGAUCUAGACAGCAAGCUUCUUAUUGGUGCAUCUCAUCAUGGUUUGCUUGACUUUGGGAUGACUGAACAUGAUGAUCUCUGGAGGGAACUGGGGGAUGAUCCUGAUUUCCCUGAAUUUAGCAAACUGAUAAACUAUGGUGAUUCAAAUACAAAGAAGUUUAUGUGUGAGCGCCUCAAGUACAUAAAAAAACUUGUUAUGUUCCGAGGAAGAUUUCUGGAAAAUAUGGAAAUUAACACCGAGUUUUACUCUUGUGAAAAUGAUGGUCUUAAUGAAGAUUUAACUUCCAGAUCACCUUUGCACAACUUGGAAGAGGAAAAUCUUGAGGAUCAAAUUGAUAACUAUCCCAAGGAUGAAAUUAAACCCAUUUUAACAGACUUGAAUCCUGAGGAACCUCUCUUUGAAGAGUUCUCCAUAGAUGUCAAAGAAGAAACGUAAAGUGGAUGAAUGUGAGUACUUCCUUCUCUCCUCAGAUUUCCUCGGAUAUGGAGAGGUUGACUGUCAACCUUGGAAUACUGUAGAACCUGUAGAUUUGGAUUUACGAAGAGUAUCCACGCAAGCUGAAAGCAAAUUCUGGUAUUUGAGACCAGUAAUUAAUUUAUUUUCUCAUGUUAUUUUGAAAUCCACCUUGUCCAGUCAGAUGAUAAUAUUAAACAAAUGUUCAGAAAAAAACAUAUUUGUAUUUUUUAAACAACUAUUUCUGCAAGUUAGUUUUCAUAAACUAUACAGGCUGUGAAAACAAAUUUUAUUCAAGUUUUCUCUUAAAGAUUCUGCACUUUUUGAUCCUCAAAAAAGUGAAAGUGAUAAAAAUUUGUAAUUUAUAAUUUAUGCAUUUACAUUAAUUCAUA